rnacentral:rRNA from 1 species
GACGAACGCUGGCGGCGUGCUUAAUACAUGCAAGUCAACUGAACUUAAGAUAGCAAUAUUUUAAGGGAGGUGGCGCACGGGUGAGUAACACGUAGGUAAUCUGCCUUUAGGUCUGACAUAACCUACCGAAAGGUAGGCUAAAAUCAGAUGAUGCAGCGGCUCGACAUCGAGACAGUUGUUAAAUCUUCGGAGCCUAGAGAUGAGCCUGCGUCUGAUUAGGUAGUUGGCGGAGUAAUAGCCCACCAAGCCUGCGAUCAGUAGCUGGUCUGAGAGGAUGAUCAGCCACACUGGAACUGAGACACGGUCCAGACUCCUACGGGAGGCAGCAGUAAGGAAUAUUGCUCAAUGGCCGAAAGGCUGAAGCAGCAACGCCGCGUGGAGGAUGAAUACUUUUGUAUGUAAACUCCUGUAAGAAGGAAAAAUAGUCCUGAUUUAUCAGGAUUGAUUGUACCUUCAGAGUAAGCCCGGCUAACUACGUGCCAG